GUCCUCACUUUGACAGCAUAUUUGCUAAAAAUGGGACAAUAGAGAUUAGCAUGACCCCUGUAUGAAGAAUGCAUGCAAACUUGUGAAGUGUUCCAUAUUUUU
ensembl:snRNA U6 U6 spliceosomal RNA